rnacentral:misc_RNA from 1 species
UCCGUAGGUGAACCUGCGGAGGGAUCAUUACCGAGUUCUCGCCCUCGCGGGUAGACCGCCCACCCACUGCUAUCGCUACCGUGUUGCUUUGGCGGGCCGCCGGCUCCGGCCGGCACGCGCCCGCCAGAGGCCUUACAGACCCUGAACGUCGGUGUCGUCUGAGCACUAUGUAAUAGUUAAAACUUUCAACAACGGAUCUCUUGGUUCUGGCAUCGAUGAAGAACGCAGCGAAAUGCGAUAAGUAAUGCGAAUUGCAGAAUUCAGUGAGUCAUCGAAUCUUUGAACGCACAUUGCGCCCUGUGGUAUUCCGCAGGGCAUGCCUGUUCGAGCGUCAUUUUUUCAACCCUCAAGCGCUGCUUGGUGUUGGGCCCUGCCCGCGCGGCCGGCCCCAAAGACAGUGGCGGCGCCGCCUGGCCUGAAGCGCAGUACGACGCUCGCUCUCGCGCCCGGCAGUAGCUAGCCAGCAACCCCAACCCCCGCAGUUGACCUCGGAUCAGGUAGGGAUACCCGCUGAACUU